UAAGCAUAUCAAUAAGCGGAGGAAAAGAAACCAACAGGGAUUGCCUCAGUAACGGCGAGUGAAGCGGCAACAGCUCAAAUUUGAAAUCUGACCUCACGGUCCGAGUUGUAAUUUGCAGAGGAAGCCUCGGGUGCGGUACCGGUCUAAAUUCCUUGGAACAGGAUGUCAUAGAGGGUGAGAAUCCCGUAUGCGAUCGGCGGCCAACCCCGUGUGAGGCCCCUUCGACGAGUCGAGUUGUUUGGGAAUGCAGCUCAAAAUGGGUGGUAAAUUUCAUCUAAAGCUAAAUACCGGCCAGAGACCGAUAGCGCACAAGUAGAGUGAUCGAAAGAUGAAAAGCACUUUGGAAAGAGAGUCAAACAGUACGUGAAAUUGUUGAAAGGGAAGCGCUUGCAACCAGACUUGCCCGUGGACGAUCAGCCGUUUCUUUGGGGCGGUGCACUCGUUCACGGUCAGGCCAGCAUCGGUUUUGGCGGCCAGACAAAGGCCCCGGGAACGUGGCUUCCUCCGGGGAGUGUUAUAGCCCGGGCCGGAAUAUGGUUAGCUGGGACCGAGGACCGCGCUUUGGCUAGGAUGCUGGCGUAAUGGUUGCCAGCGACCCGUCUUGAAACACGGACCAAGGAGUCUAACAUCUAUGCGAGUGUUUGGGUGUCAAACCCAUACGCGCAAUGAAAGUGAACGGAGGUGGGAAUCUUUUAGACGCACCAUCGACCGAUCCUGAUGUCUUCGGAUGGAUUUGAGUAGGAGCAUAGCUGUUGGGACCCGAAAGAUGGUGAACUAUGCGUGAAUAGGGUGAAGCCAGAGGAAACUCUGGUGGAGGCUCGCAGCGGUUCUGACGUGCAAAUCGAUCGUCAAAUUUGCGUAUAGGACCAAUCGAACUAUAGUAGCUGGUUCCUGCCGAAGUUUCCCUCAGGAUAGCAGUAACGUUUUCAGUUUUAUGAGGUAAAGCGAAUGAUUAGAGGCCUUGGGGUUGAAACAACCUUAACCUAUUCUCAAACUUUAAAUAUGUAAGAAGUCCUUGUUACUUUGUUGAACGUGGACA
rnacentral:rRNA from 1 species